rnacentral:rRNA from 1 species
GAUGAACGCUGGCGGCGUGCCUAAUACAUGCAAGUCGAGCGAACAGACGAGGAGCUUGCUCCUCUGACGUUAGCGGCGGACGGGUGAGUAACACGUGGAUAACCUACCUAUAAGACUGGGAUAACUUCGGGAAACCGGAGCUAAUACCGGAUAAUAUAUUGAACCGCAUGGUUCAAUAGUGAAAGACGGUUUUGCUGUCACUUAUAGAUGGAUCCGCGCCGCAUUAGCUAGUUGGUAAGGUAACGGCUUACCAAGGCAACGAUGCGUAGCCGACCUGAGAGGGUGAUCGGCCACACUGGAACUGAGACACGGUCCAGACUCCUACGGGAGGCAGCAGUAGGGAAUCUUCCGCAAAGGGCGAAAGCCUGACGGAGCAACGCCGCGUGAGUGAUGAAGGUCUUCGGAUCGUAAAACUCUGUUAUUAGGGAAGAACAAAUGUGUAAGUAACUAUGCACGUCUUGACGGUACCUAAUCAGAAAGCCACGGCUAACUACGAG